AAGGGUAUAGCUCAAUGGUAGAGCAUUUGCUUGGCAUGUAUGAGGUCCUGGGUUCAAUCCCCAGUACCUGUA
rnacentral:tRNA from 1 species